rnacentral:rRNA from 1 species
AUUGAACGCUGGCGGCAGGCCUAACACAUGCAAGUCGAGCGGAUUUUGGAGGGCUUGCUCUCCAAGGUUAGCGGCGGACGGGUGAGGAAUACGCAGGAAUCUACCUAGUAGUGGGGGAUAACGUUCCGAAAGGAACGCUAAUACCGCAUACGACCUACGGGUGAAAGCAGGGGACCUUCGGGCCUUGCGCUAUUGGAUGAGCCUGCGUCGGAUUAGCUGGUUGGUGGGGUAAAGGCCUACCAAGGCGACGAUCCGUAGCUGGUCUUAGAGGAUGAUCAGCCACACUGGGACUGAGACACGGCCCAGACUCCUACGGGAGGCAGCAGUGGGGAAUAUUGGACAAUGGGCGAAAGCCUGAUCCAGCCAUGCCGCGUGUGUGAAGAAGGCCUCGG